GGAUUUAACAUUUUGUCUCAUCACUUUAUCUUAUUUUAUGUAGGUGAGACAAACAUCUGGUACCCAGAUCUUCAUCCAUUUUUCAUGUCUUGCUAGCCCCUUCAGGGACCAUUCUCAGGCACUGGGCUAAGGACAAGGGAGAGCCAGCUGCCCUGAACAUCACAUGGCACAGGGAGCACUCCAGUUCUGGAACAUGCACUGCUCAGCCACUCUAGUAGAAUAAAACCAGAGGCUUUGAAGUUCCAUCCCAGUUAUGACCCAGCACUUUGGCAUAUUCUGGAGAAUACAGGACAAGCCAAGGAACACUCAGCUGAGCCUGUGUUGAUUCAUCCCCAGAGCUAAAGAGUUCCCAUCCAAACUCAGAGUCUGGAUUCUGGAGUUGUAGAGAUUCCCAAGAGGCUCCUUGGGGCAACUGAAAGCUAGGACAAUCACUGUGGCUUUAUCCCCUUUCCACCACCAAACAAUGUUCCUGAAGCUGUAUAGGAAGUGGGGACACCAGAUAAGACACAGCAAGCAGAAUCUGUCCACUGAGAUUUCAGUGCAAUAAAUCUCAAGCAAGUUCAAAGCUCCCACUGCUUCAGAAAUGGCUUGUUAGGCAGGGAGAAUAAAAGUCUCUGUGCUGGCUA